rnacentral:rRNA from 1 species
CGAAAACGAAUUCUCUCUUGAGUGGAUCCUGAGUACGACGGAGCACGUGAAAUUCCGUCGGAAUCUGGGAGGACCAUCUCCUAAGGCUAAAUACUCUCUAGUGACCGAUAGUGAACCAGUACCGUGAGGGAAAGGUGAAAAGUACCCCGGAAGGGGAGUGAAAGAGAACUUGAAACCGUGUGCUUACAAGUAGUCAGAGCCCGUUAAUGGGUGAUGGCGUGCCUUUUGUAGAAUGAACCGGCGAGUUACGAUCUGAUGCAAGGUUAAGCAGAAAAUGUGGAGCCGUAGCGAAAGCGAGUCUGAAUAGGGCGAAUGAGUAUUUGGUCGUAGACCCGAAACCAGGUGAUCUACCCUUGGUCAGGUUGAAGUUCAGGUAACACUGAAUGGAGGACCGAACCGACUUACGUUGAAAAGUGAGCGGAUGAACUGAGGGUAGCGGAGAAAUUCCAAUCGAACUUGGAGAUAGCUGGUUCUCUCCGAAAUAGCUUUAGGGCUAGCCUCAAGUGAUGAUUAUUGGAGGUAGAGCACUGUUUGGACGAGGGGCCCCUCUCGGGUUACCGAAUUCAGACAAACUCCGAAUGCCAAAUAAUUUAACUUGGGAGUCAGAAUGUGGGUGAUAAGGUCCAUAUUCGAAAGGGAAACAGCCCAGACCACCAGCUAAGGUCCCAAAAUAUAUGUUAAGUGGAAAAGGAUGUGGCGUUGCCCAGACAACUAGGAUGUUGGCUUAGAAGCAGCCAUCAUUUAAAGAGUGCGUAAUAGCUCACUAGUCGAGUGACACUGCGCCGAAAAUGUACCGGGGCUAAACAUAUUACCGAAGCUGUGGAUUGUCCUUUGGACAAUGGUAGGAGAGCGUUCUAAGGGCGUUGAAGCAUGAUCGCAAGGACAUGUGGAGCGCUUAGAAGUGAGAAUGCCGGUGUGAGUAGCG